rnacentral:rRNA from 1 species
AUACGUAGGGAGCGAGCGUUGUCCGGAAUUACUGGGUGUAAAGGGUGCGUAGGCGGGACUGCAAGUCAGAUGUGAAAUGCCGGGGCUCAACCCCGGAGCUGCAUUUGAAACUGUGGUUCUUGAGUGAGGUAGAGGUAAGCGGAAUUCCUAGUGUAGCGGUGAAAUGCGUAGAUAUUAGGAGGAACAUCGGUGGCGAAGGCGGCUUACCGGGCCUUUACUGACGCUGAGGCACGAAAGCGUGGGGAGCAAACAGGAUUAGAUACCCUGGUAGUCCACGCUGUAAACGAUGAUGACUAGGUGUAGGGGGUAUCGACCCCUUCUGUGCCGCAGCAAACGCAAUAAGUAUCCCGCCUGGGGAGUACGAUCGCAAGGUUGAAACUCAAAUGAAUUGACGGGG